rfam:Ornithorhynchus anatinus chromosome 4, whole genome shotgun sequence.
AUCAGGGUGGCUCAGUGGAAAGAGCCUGGGUUUGGGAGUCAGAGGUCAUGGGUUCGAAUCCCCUCUCUGCCA